rnacentral:rRNA from 1 species
UACGUAGGGCGCAAGCGUUGUCCGGAUUUAUUGGGCGUAAAGAGCUCGUAGGUGGUUCGUUGCGUCUGCCGUGAAAUCCUAUGGCUUAACUGUGGGCGUGCGGUGGAUACGGGCGGACUUGAGGUAGGUAGGGGAGAAUGGAAUUCCCGGUGUAGCGGUGAAAUGCGCAGAUAUCGGGAGGAACACCGGUGGCGAAGGCGGUUCUCUGGGCCUUACCUGACGCUGAGGAGCGAAAGCGUGGGGAGCGAACAGG